UACGGAGGGUGCGAGCGUUGUCCGGAAUCACUGGGCGUAAAGGGCGCGUAGGUGGAGCGGCAAGUCAAAGGUGAAAGCUCGACGCUCAACGUCGAGUCGGCCGUCGAUACUGCUGGGCUUGAGCACUGUAGAGGCAGAUGGAAUUCCGGGUGUAGCGGUGGAAUGCGUAGAGAUCCGGAAGAACACCGGUGGCGAAGGCGGUCUGCUGGGCAGUAGCUGACACUGAGGCGCGACAGCGUGGGGAGCAAACAGG
rnacentral:rRNA from 1 species